rnacentral:misc_RNA from 1 species
UUGAAAUAAACCUGAUGGGUUGUUGCUGGUUCUCUAGGGAGCAUGUGCACACUUGUCAUCUUUAUAUCUCUCCACCUGUGCACCUUUUGUAGACCUGGAUAGCUUUCUGAAUGUGAAACUAGCGUUUGGGUAUUGAAGAUUGGCAUCAUGUGUCUUUCUUUUAUAGUUUCAGGUCUAUGUAUAUCAUAUAUACUCCAAUGAAUGUUAUAGAAUGUGAUGAAAUGAUAUAUAAAUCUAUA